AUCAGGAGAACAGGGUACAACAGCUGGUGAGUUUUCCUUCUGAUAUAGACAAUGCCUGGAGAGCAAACUGUUACAGCUAAGAGAGAUCUUUAAGUGAAAGAAAAGGAGAAGGCUCCAUCUCAGCUUAUUAGAGGACUUGAAUUUCUCUAAUGUCUUGCCUGGGAAAAGCAGCUCAGUUCUCUCUGAAAAGCAAAACCCAGGACAGAAAGCGUGGAUGUGGAAGAAGGCUGGAGUGCAGUGGCGUGAUGUCCGCUCACUGCAAGCUCUGCCUCCCGGGUUCACGCCAUUCUCCUGUCUCAGCCUCCUGAGUAGCUGGGACUACAGGCGCCUGCCACCACGUCUGGCUAAUUGCUUUUAGCACUUUUUUGGGAGAGGAACAGAUGAUAAUGCAUUGCCAGGCCUUCAGUACAAAAGGUAUUAGACUCAAGAUUCUACAAGAUUCUGUUUGCGCCAGACACUGAUUAGCAGUGCAAAUAUAAAAUGAAUACAAAUAGAUCACGCAUCAGAAUGCCAAUCACUUCCUAGAAACACUGAUCAAAAUUUGCAUUAAAUCAACAGAUCUUUCUUUUAAGAUGGGUGUGGCAACAGUAAAGCUUUCUACGUGUUAAACAGAAUGAACAAAACCAACACAGAGCAGUAACUUCCUGCCAGAGAGAGCAGAAGGAGACCCUUAUAGAACAGUUGUUCCACUGGUUCAAAGGCCUCGUGUGGUUCUAUCCUUUGGACUGCCUUUCUUCAACAGCCCAGACACCUGCUCCAUCAGAUUUAUAAGCCACACCCCCUAGAGCCAUGCCAAUCAAAGCAUGGC
rnacentral:antisense_RNA from 1 species